rnacentral:rRNA from 1 species
CCUACGGGAGGCAGCAGUGAGGAAUAUUGGUCAAUGGACGAGAGUCUGAACCAGCCAAGUAGCGUGAAGGAUGACUGCCCUAUGGGUUGUAAACUUCUUUUAUAUGGGAAUAAAACGUUCCACGUGUGGGAUUUUGUAUGUACCAUAUGAAUAAGGAUCGGCUAACUCCGUGCCAGCAGCCGCGGUGAUACGGAGGAUCCGAGCGUUAUCCGGAUUUAUUGGGUUUAAAGGGAGCGUAGGUGGAUUGUUAAGUCAGUUGUGAAAGUUUGCGGCUCAACCGUAAAAUUGCAGUUGAAACUGGCAGUCUUGAGUACAGUAGAGGUGGGCGGAAUUCGUGGUGUAGCGGUGAAAUGCUUAGAUAUCACGAAGAACUCCGAUUGCGAAGGCAGUUCACUGGACUGCAACUGACACUGAGGCUCGAAAGUGUGGGUAUCAAACAGGAUUAGAUACCCCAGUAGUC